rnacentral:rRNA from 1 species
UGGGGAAUUUUGGACAAUGGGCGAAAGCCUGAUCCAGCGAUGCCGCGUGUGUGAAGAAGGCCUUCGGGUUGUAAAGCACUUUUGUCCGGAAAGAAAUCCUUGGCUCUAAUACAGUCAGGGGAUGACGGUACCGGAAGAAUAAGCACCGGCUAACUACGUGCCAGCAGCCGCGGUAAUACGUAGGGUGCAAGCGUUAAUCGGAAUUACUGGGCGUAAAGCGUGCGCAGGCGGUUUGCUAAGACCGAUGCGAAAUCCCCGGGCUCAACCUGGGAACUGCAUUGGUGACUGGCAGGCUAGAGUAUGGCAGAGGGGGGUAGAAUUCCACGUNUAGCAGUGAAAUGCGUAGAGAUGUGGAGGAAUACCGAUGGCGAAGGCAGCCCCCUGGGCCAAUACUGACGCUCAUGCACGAAAGGCGUGGGGGAGCAAACAGGAUUAGAUACCCUGGUAGUCCACGCCCUAAACGAUGUCAACUAGUUGUUGGGGAUUCAUUUCCUUAGUAACGUAGCUAACGCGUGAAGUUGACCGCCUGGGGAGUACGGUCGCAAG